rnacentral:rRNA from 1 species
GGGAUGGCGCAGCUACACAUGCAGUCGAACGGUAGCACAGAGAGCUUGCUCUCGGGUGACGAGUGGCGGACGGGUGAGUAAUGUCUGGGAAACUGCCUGAUGGAGGGGGAUAACUACUGGAAACGGUAGCUAAUACCGCAUAACGUCGCAAGACCAAAGAGGGGGACCUUCGGGCCUCUUGCCAUCAGAUGUGCCCAGAUGGGAUUAGCUAGUAGGUGGGGUAACGGCUCACCUAGGCGACGAUCCCUAGCUGGUCUGAGAGGAUGACCAGCCACACUGGAACUGAGACACGGUCCAGACUCCUACGGGAGGCAGCAGUGGGGAAUAUUGCACAAUGGGCGCAAGCCUGAUGCAGCCAUGCCGCGUGUAUGAAGAAGGCCUUCGGGUUGUAAAGUACUUUCAGCGGGGAGGAAGGUGUUGUGGUUAAUAACCGCAGCAAUUGACGUUACCCGCAGAAGAAGCACCGGCUAACUCCGUGCCAGCAGCCGCGGUAAUACGGAGGGUGCAAGCGUUAAUCGGAAUUACUGGGCGUAAAGCGCACGCAGGCGGUCUGUCAAGUCCGAUGUGAAAUCCCCGGGCUCAACCUGGGAACUGCAUUCCAAACUGGGAUGCUUUAAACUUGUAUAGGGGGGUAGAAAUCCCUGUGUGGCACUGUCUAAUGUUCUAUAUCUUUUAGAGGUGAGGAAGUGAAAGGGGAUCU